UUAAUCCAGGAUGGGAUCAUGAGUUCACAUGUCCGCAUGAUUAAAGGUAUUUUCCGGUAGACGAUGGGGAUGCGUUCCAUUAGAUAGUAGGCGGGGUAACGGCCCACCUAGUCAACGAUGGAUAGGGGUUCUGAGAGGAAGGUCCCCCACAUUGGAACUGAGACACGGUCCAAACUCCUACGGGAGGCAGCAGUGAGGAAUAUUGGUCAAUGGGCGAUGGCCUGAACCAGCCAAGUAGCGUGAAGGAUGACUGCCCUAUGGGUUGUAAACUUCUUUUAUAAAGGAAUAAAGUCGGGUAUGCAUACCCGUUUGCAUGUACUUUAUGAAUAAGGAUCGGCUAACUCCGUGCCAGCAGCCGCGGUGAUACGGAGGAUCCGAGCGUUAUCCGGAUUUAUUGGGUUUAAAGGGAGCGUAGAUGGAUGUUUAAGUCAGUUGUGAAAGUUUGCGGCUCAACCGUAAAAUUGCAGUUGAUACUGGAUGUCUUGAGUGCAGUUGAGGCAGGCGGAAUCCGUGGUGUAGCGGUGAAUGCUUAGAUAUCACGAAGACUCCGAUUGCGAAGGCAGCUCACUGGAGUGU
rnacentral:rRNA from 1 species